rnacentral:misc_RNA from 1 species
AAAGUCGUAACAAGGUUUCCGUAGGUGAACCUGCGGAAGGAUCAUUAGAGAGAAACUGCCCUUUGGGUACAUCUCCCGCCCUGAAUACCAUACCAGGUUGCUUUGGCAGACAUAUGCUUACGCAAGUGUAUGCCAGAGUCAUAAUCAUUCUUGUAUUUAAUAUGUCUGAGAAAAUAUAUAAUAUUUAAAACUUUCAACAACGGAUCUCUUGGUUCUG